rnacentral:rRNA from 1 species
UACGGGGGGAGCAAGCGUUGUUCGGAUUUACUGGGCGUAAAGGGCGCGUAGGCGGCCACGACAAGUCACUUGUGAAAUCUCCGGGCUUAACUCGGAACGGUCAAGUGAUACUGUCGGGCUAGAGUGCAGAAGGGGCAACUGGAAUUCUCGGUGUAGCGGUGAAAUGCGUAGAUAUCUGGAGGAACACCGGUGGCGAAGGCGGCAUCCUGGACCAACACUGACACUGAUGAGCGAAAGCCAGGGGAGCAAACGGG